AACCUUACCUACUCUUGACAUCCAGAGAACUUUCCAGAGAUGGAUUGGUGCCUUCGGGAACUCUGAGACAGGUGCUGCAUGGCUGUCGUCAGCUCGUGUUGUGAAAUGUUGGGUUAAGUCCCGCAACGAGCGCAACCCUUAUCCUUUGUUGCCAGCGGUUCGGCCGGGAACUCAAAGGAGACUGCCAGUGAUAAACUGGAGGAAGGUGGGGAUGACGUCAAGUCAUCAUGGCCCUUACGAGUAGGGCUACACACGUGCUACAAUGGCGCAUACAAAGAGAAGCGACCUCGCGAGAGCAAGCGGACCUCAUAAAGCGCGUCCUAUCCGGAUUGGAGUCUGCAACUCGACUCCAUGAAGUCGGAAUCGCUAGUAAUCGUAGAUCAGAA
rnacentral:rRNA from 1 species